AAAACUCUAAGCGGUGGAUCACUCGGCUCAUGGGUCGAUGAAGAACCCAGCAAACUGUGCGUCAUCGUGUGAACUGCAGGACAUAUGGGACUACCCCCUGAAUUUAAGCAUAUUAAUUAGGGGAGGAAAUGAAACUAACAAGGAUUUUCUUAGUAGCGGCGAGCGAAAAGAAAACAGUUCAGCACUAAGUCCCUUUGUCUAUAUGGCAAAUGUGGGAUGUAGUGUAUGGAGCGUCACUAGUAUGAGAAAUUAACGCAUACAGGGAGCCAGGCCAGUAUAUAGUUAAUGAUUACUAGAUGAUGUUUCCAAAGAGUCGUGUUGCUUGAUAGUGCAGCACUAAGUGGGUGGUAAACUCCAUCUAAAACUAAAUAUAACCAUGAGACCGAUAGUAAACAAGUACCGUGAGGGAAAGUUGAAAAGAAUAGAGAUGAAUUAUUGAAUAUAAUGUAUAUUUAUAUUAUUUAUGCCUCUAACUGGAACGUACCUUGAGCAUAUAUGCUGUGACCCGAAAGAUGGUGAACUUGAUCAGGUUAAAGUCAGCGGAAACCCUGAUGGAAGACCGAAACAGUUCUGACGUGCAAAUCGAUUGUCAGAAUUGCGUAUAGGGUCGAAAGACCAAUCGAACCAUCUAGUAGCUGGUUCCUUCCGAAGUUUCCCUCAGGAUAGCUGGUGCAUUUUAAUAUUAUAUAAAAUAAUCUUAUCUGGUAAAGCGAAUGAUUAGAGGCCUUAGGGUCGAAACGAUCUUAACCUAUUCUCAAGCUUUAUGGGUAUUUAUGGGUAAGAACAUUAACUUUCUUGAUAUGAAGUUAUAGGUUAUGAUAUAAUGUGCCCAGUGCGCCACUUUUGGUAAGCAGAACUGGCGAUGUGGGAUAAACCAAACGUAAUGUUACGGUGCCCAAAUUAACAACUCAUGCAGAUACCAUGAAAGGCAUUGGUUGCUUAAAACGGAAGACCGUUGAUCAUGGAAGUCGAAAUCCGCUAAGGAGUGUGGAAGCAACUAGCCCUUAAAAUGGAUGGCGCUUAAUUUGUAUACCUAUACAUUACCGCUAAAGUAGAUGAUUUAUAUUACUUGUGAUAUAAAUUUUGAAACUUUAGUGAGUAGGAAGGUACAAUGGUAUGCGUAGAAGUGUUUGGCGUAAGGUGGUAGUAGCAAAUAAUCGAAUGAGACAUUGGAGGACUGAAGUGGAGAAGGGUUUCGUGUGAAUAGUGGUUGAUCACGAGUUAGUCGGUCAUAAGUUCAAGGCGAAAGCCGAUAAUUUUCAAGUAAAACAAAAAUGCCAAAUUAUAUAAACAAAGCGAAAAUAAUACACUUGAAUAAUUUUGAACGAAAGGGAAUUUCUCUGCGAAAGAGGCGUUAGCCCUUUUCGUGUGGGAUUUUCUCAGCACCAGCUGAUCGGUUCCGAACUUUGCUAAGGUGUGUGUAUUGGAACAUUUUAGUGCUACCAUACCGAGCAAUUGGAGGCGCCUCAAUGUUGGAUACCCGCUGUUAAUAGCUGGAGCCAGUGCGUCAUAGCAACCAGCCUCUGUCAGCAAGCCAAAGUUGCUGGAGUCGACAAAAGGAGGAGCCACUUUUUUUUUUUUUUACGCGUCGCAGGCGUAGAAGCCUACUGGCUUCGAAGAGCUCGGCGCCAACGCAGGCGAAGCUGGUUGCCGUGGCGGCGAAUGGGGUUCCCGAAUCCAUAGGCGUGCUGGACGA
rnacentral:rRNA from 1 species